GCCAGACUCCUACGGGAGGCAGCAGUGGGGAAUAUUGCACAAUGGGGGAAACCCUGAUGCAGCGACGCCGCGUGAGCGAAGAAGUACCUCGGUAUGUAAAGCUCUAUCAGCAGGGAAGAAGAUGACGGUACCUGACCAAGAAGCUCCGGCUAAAUACGUGCCAGCAGCCGCGGUAAUACGUAUGGAGCAAGCGUUAUCCGGAUUUACUGGGUGUAAAGGGAGCGUAGACGGCAUAGCAAGUCUGAAGUGAAAGCCCAAGGCUCAACCAUGGGACUGCUUUGGAAACUGUUAAGCUAGAGUGCUGGAGAGGUAAGCGGAAUUCCUAGUGUAGCGGUGAAAUGCGUAGAUAUUAGGAAGGACACCAGUGGCGAAGGCGGCUUACUGGACAGUAACUGACGCUGAGGCUCGAAAGCGUGGGGAGCAAACAGGAUUAGAUACCCGUGUA
rnacentral:rRNA from 1 species